rnacentral:lncRNA from 1 species
UUAGGGAUAGGUAUGGUAAAUAUGAACCAAGUGAUUAAACCCUCCUUGGUUCUACACUACUUUUUAGCUCUAUUUUUCCUACCUUUUUAUUUUACUCCCGUGUUUAACUUUUUUGAACUUUGGGUGUGGUUUUAUUUUCACAAAUUCUUCUUUUUCUUUUUUUCCUUUUUUGAAAAACUUUUUUUUCACUUUUUUCUUUACACAAUUCCGUGCCCAGAACUUUUUUUAUUUUCUUUAACUAUCUU